AUACAGAGGUAAAGAUGUGUUUCAGACCUGAUUCUUUUCUUCGCCGCCUCUCUGAAGGGUUGAAGGGACUGACUGGUGGCCAGAUGGAGGUUUUCCAGUAUGACCCACGUCUCAGGGUUGUCUCCAUGCACCCUGAGCUCCUCUAGCUGAUCGAUUCCAGACACAUGUGCUCUGCCAAUCUCCUCCAGAGCAUCGCUACCAAAGCUCAGCCUCCGGAGCUGGACCAGGCUCUUGAAUAGUGGAUGUGGGCCCAGACUCCUGGGAAACACAGAAGCAGAUUAUUUAGAGAGUUGAUUCCUGAUGCCAGGGGAGAUAAGACAGUGAAAUGAUGAAGAUGUGAAGGGACUAAAGAAAGGCCGUUGAAUCGACUCCAUGUGAGGG